rnacentral:lncRNA from 1 species
ACUCCUCAGCAACUUUAUUAGGGCAGGUCAGUUGGUACAGGAGUCGGCGGAGGCAGAGUUGGGCUUAGCAGAAAGCCUGGAAGAUAAUGCUGGAAUGCAGAGGCACCGAGGAUGUGAUGCAGCAAGAAGGCCACUGUCUGCAAACCAGGAAGAGGGCUCUCACCAAGAACAGAAUCAGCCAGCACCUUGACCUUGGACUUCCAGCCUCCAGAACUCAAAGCCCAUGGUUCUGCCUCUCUGCUACUGGGACCCGAGGAAUGGCCUCCUAUCCUGCAAGUGUAUUCACAUCCUGGAAGAUAGUAUAUACUGGAGUUGAAGCUUAAUCACAACAGCUGAAGUAGACCAGGCUUGGAAGUUAUGUAAUCCUAACCCUUCACUUCAUACAAG